rnacentral:rRNA from 1 species
UGCCAGCCGCCGCGGUAAUACGGAGGGUGCAAGCGUUGUUCGGAAUCAUUGGGCGUAAAGCGCGCGCAGGCGGUCUGCCAAGUCUGAUGUGAAAGCCCAGGGCUCAACCCUGGAACUGCAUUGGAAACUGGUAGACUUGAAUUCGGGAGGGGUCAGUGGAAUUCCAGGUGUAGGGGUGAAAUCCGUAGAGAUCUGGAGGAACACCGGUGGCGAAGGCGACUGACUGGACCGAUAUUGACGCUGAGGCGCGAAAGCGUGGGGAGCAAACAGGAUUAGAUA